UAUCAACAUCUUAUAACCACGAAUACACGUAU
rnacentral:scRNA from 1 species